AGGCCCAUCCCUCCCUCCCCCCCGUGUCAUCGAGGGCCAGCAAGCGUACACGCUUACCAGCCUCUCUUUCCUCGUCCUCCUGGUUUUUGACCUUUGCCUGUCCUGACCCUGUACCCACCCGCCUGACCUCUCUGCCUGCCGUCCUGUACCUUUGCUCCACCUCUGGAUUACUGAACUCUGCCUGACCCCGAGUCCGCCUGCCGUCCUGUACUUUUGCCUUACCCUGGAUUUUCGACCCCUGCCUGCCUUGACCUGUCUUUGCCUGCCCCUGUUGCUUCAAUAAACAUUGUCACUUCAAGUCUGCAUCUGGGUCUUACCUUGAUCCCUGAUAGAUGCAGAUAUCUCUAACUUAAACUGCCUUUUUUUAUAGGGAUUUUUUUUCUUU
rnacentral:lncRNA from 1 species